rnacentral:rRNA from 1 species
AGUGAACGCUGGCGGUAGGCCUAACACAUGCAAGUCGAACGGCAGCACAGUAAGAGCUUGCUCUUACGGGUGGCGAGUGGCGGACGGGUGAGGAAUGCAUCGGAAUCUACUUUUUCGUGGGGGAUAACGUAGGGAAACUUACGCUAAUACCGCAUACGACCUACGGGUGAAAGCAGGGGAUCUUCGGACCUUGCGCGAUUGAAUGAGCCGAUGUCGGAUUAGCUAGUUGGCGGGGUAAAGGCCCACCAAGGCGACGAUCCGUAGCUGGUCUGAGAGGAUGAUCAGCCACACUGGAACUGAGAAACGGUCCAGACUCCUACGGGAGGCAGCAGUGGGGAAUAUUGGACAAUGGGCGCAAGCCUGAUCCAGCCAUACCGCGUGGGUGAAGAAGGCCUUCGGGUUGUAAAGCCCUUUUGUUGGGAAAGAAAAGCAGCAGGUUAAUACCCCGCUGUUCUGACGGUACCCAAAGAAUAAGCACCGGCUAACUUCGUG